AUUGAACGCUGGCGGCAUGCCUUACACAUGCAAGUCGAACGGUAACAGGUCUUCGGAUGCUGACGAGUGGCGAACGGGUGAGUAAUACAUCGGAACGUGCCCGAUCGUGGGGGAUAACGGAGCGAAAGCUUUGCUAAUACCGCAUACGAUCUACGGAUGAAAGCAGGGGACCGCAAGGCCUUGCGCGGACGGAGCGGCCGAUGGCAGAUUAGGUAGUUGGUGGGAUAAAAGCUUACCAAGCCGACGAUCUGUAGCUGGUCUAAGAGGACGACCCGCCACACUGGGACUGAGACACGGCCCAGACUCCUACGGGAGGCAGCAGUGGGGAAUUUUGGACAAUGGGCGAAAGCCUGAUCCAGCCAUGCCGCGUGCAGGAUGAAGGCCUUCGGGUUGUAAACUGCUUUUGUACGGAACGAAAAGACUCUUUCUAAUAAAGAGGGUCCAUGACGGUACCGUAAGAAUAAGCACCGGCUAACUACGU
rnacentral:rRNA from 1 species